CUGCUCUAAGCCCUACCUCUUCUGUCUGAUACCCUAAUGCCUAACCCUUCUCUGGCCCUUCCUGCCUCAGGUAUGCCCUGCGGGCUGGGUGGAACCCUCCCUUCUUCAACUAGGGCAUCAGCCUUCCCCUGGCUGCCAGAGGGGCACAGGGAGCUGAGCAAUGAGAGACUCUAGUGAGAGGGGAGAGGGAUGGGGUGUUGGCAUGCAGACAGGGGUGCCUAGGAAGGGGGAGGGAACUGGCUGUGAGCUGCCCCAUGGUGGGACGGAGCUGUCCCAGCCUCCCUG
rnacentral:lncRNA from 1 species